UACAGAGGGGGCAAGCGUUAUUCGGAAUUAUUGGGCGUAAAGGGCGCGUAGGCGGCCUGACAAGUGGAAGGUGAAAUCCCUCGGCUUAACCGAGGAACUGCCCUCCAAACUGUCUGGCUUGAGACCGGGAGAGGUGAGUGGAAUUCCCAGUGUAGCGGUGAAAUGCGUAGAUAUUGGGAGGAACACCAGUGGCGAAGGCGGCUCUCUGGACCUCUGCUGACGCUGAGGCGCGAAAGCGUGGGGAGCGAACAGG
rnacentral:rRNA from 1 species